GUGAGUCAUCGAAUCUUUGAACGCAACUUGCACCUCUUGGGUGACUGAGAGGUAUGUCUGUUUGAGUACCUGAAUCUUAUCUUUAUUAAUUAUAAAGGUUUUGAGGUUUUUUUUGACUAUUACUCUCUUAGGGGAAAGGUCUACCUUUAAAUAUAUAAGGGGUAUAUAGAUCCCAAAACUAUGUGCUAAGGACCAGCAGGUCUUGUCAUAGUUUUUGAUUUCUAACCUCUCUCUCUAUUAUCAUCUUUAAUAUAAGGCCUCAAAUCAGACAAGAUUACCCGCUGAACUUAAGCAUAUCAA
rnacentral:misc_RNA from 1 species